ACUUUACUACAUUUUAUUCAUACGGCCCAAUAAGUGUUCCAGCGUCCAGCAAUGCAAACCUACAGAAAGAAGUGCUUUUGCGGAAGUUUUUUUUUUCGUUCGCUGCCACCCACUCACCCCGGUAACACCGGUUAAACUCAACACUCAACUAUCAGCAUCACGUGCGUCGCCCUCAUCGACAGCUACGACAGAGCAGGUGCCUUUCAGCGAUGUCCAAGUAAGAACCUGUGCCCACCAAACGACAAUCGAUCGGAGUCCAUACACGGUUGAUCAGAAACAGCAUCAAAAUCCGACCCGGCAGCAACUUCAUCAGCUACAACCAGCAUCAACAAUACAUGGAAUUUACAUCUCGUUCAGCAAAAUGGAUCCACCGUUCAUUCAAGGAAAACAGAAUAAACUGAUGAAAAGUUUCACGGACAAUUCGGCUACCAUGAGUGACUUUUGGCAACCAGUAGAGGUGAAUCCAUAGGACAAGGCACUGGUAUUGUUCAAACGGAGAUGCUGUCGGAGUAAAAUGCCACGGCCACCCUCGGGGAGACGGGCGAAACCACGGUGAAAAAAAAAAUCACGGAUUCCCCCUCCCGAAUCUGUUGUAAAAAUGAAUAAACUUUACUACUAGUUCGAA